UUGGUAGGUUAGAUUUUGGAGUUGUCAGCGAGCUUUAUGAGCAAUCGGUACCGCUUCUUCCAGUGAACCGGUUGGAAUACUGUAAUUGGACACGCGAUCAAUUACACACAACGCUUCACUUCAUUAUCAUGCCUUGGGAGAAAAGGCUUAAGGGGACGUGAGGUUCACGUGAUGGGAGGAGAGUGUGAGUAAAAAACAAAAAUGUAAUGUUGCUGUCAGACGCGUCACCUUUCUUGCUUUCAGCAAAUAUGUAUUUCAAUGGGAUUCUGUUUUUAUUACAAAUGAGUAGAAGACUGAUAUAUAGGUAAAGCCAUGCAAUUGAUGUACAAAGUUAAUUUGAUGCAUUGCUUAGUUGCGAAGGUGAAGUUACUUUGAGUUGCAAAGAUAAGCUAGCAAUUAUUUACUGCAUUUUUUCUAUUUUCAUUUUUUUUUUGUCCUUUAAUAAACUAGCAGUAAUGUUUUAGAGGCCAUGUUACAUGAAUUGUUAUUGUCCCUGAGCUAUAUAUAUAUAUACCAUUCCAGCAAGCAUUCUGAAACCAUGAUAUAAGCACUCAUUUUUCCAUUGCAAUUAUUUUAAUUAUCAUACUCAUUCUCUCUUUCUCUGCUAUCACUACGCCAAUAAUGACAUUUUAUAGCGCGUUUUUAUAGCGCUUAUUAAAUACAAGCGUUAUUGUAUGAUAUUUUAAAAAUA